rnacentral:lncRNA from 1 species
UGGAGGAUACACUGAAAAAGCGUCGUUUCUAUCGAGACCCCCUCCCCAUAACGUCUUCUCCUUUAUCGGAUUCCCCCAGACUUUGGUCUCUACUUCAUCCCCCAUCGUUUCACUCUCUUUAUUCACAGCAAAUCUGUUGUUGUAACGCGAACAGACCCCUCUCACGUAGCUUCUCCAUCGUCUUCUUCAUGGAGACAACAAGAAAACUCCAUUGAAGCUCCUCCACCUCAUAAACCUUCAGCUGCAGCACAUCAAAACGACCCCCAUCAGUUUUGCUCUGCUUCUUCCCCAUUUUUGCAACUUGAGACCUCUUCCUAAUUCCCAAACAAAUCCAGCGACCAAACAAAUCAAACCAGUUGUUGUUCGUCGGAAACGCACGACGUCACCGACGAUCACCAUUAUUUCUCUCAAACACACACACAUAAAGACAGACAUAAGGAAAAGAGCUAGCCUAAUACAGGGGUGAACAGGCAGAAACAGAGUGAGAAAAUCCGAUGACAACAGUCAGCCAUUUCAGUUAUCGCUAAGAGUCGGGGUCCAUCCGAGGUUCGUCAAUUUCCGGUGAGCUUUGAGGUCGUCGAAGGUCGUGGUCUGAGGUCUCUAUUCAGUGCCAUUUUCUGUCGAGUGAAGCCCAUUCCGGUUCACGUUCGACCUUUAUUUGGAAUUUUUGAACUGUUUCUUUGCUUUCAAUAGGUAAGCCUCGUCACCUUUGCCUUAUGUAUUUUCCAGGUUGCCUAUGCCCUCUUUUGUUGAAUGGUAUUUGACAUGGACAUAUUUCAACAAUGUAUUUUCUUUGUUGAAAUAUUUAUUUUAUGGUUAGUUUUGUUUGUUCAUCUUGCACUUGAUAUAAAUCUGUCAAAGAUAUGUUGUUGUGGUGAUUUUGCACUUCUUAUGAUAUUAGGAAGUUCCAAUAGAUAGUUCCGGAUGAUUUUUCCAUUCUCUGUUGCUUUUACUAAUUUCAAAAUUUUAAUUUCCAAUCUUUGGUAGUGUGGAUCAUGAUGAGUUUGCUAGAGAAGAUUUUUCUUAAUUACGUGAUAGUAUUCAACGAUAUUUUGAGGCGAGGAAGUAUGCUUUUCUUCUGUUGUCUUACAAGUAAUUCAUAUCGUUAGUAUUCUUUUGGGUACGCUCUUAAUCUACUAUCGUGGUUGUGGACACGUUAGCGUGACAUAAUUACGAUUCCUUAAGGAUGGGUUGAGGUAUACUAUAUUAGCCAAAAGACAUAGUUUAUGGCCCUCAAAAGCUGAGUUUUGAAUUUCAUUAAAAUUAGAAUCAAGGUGUGUCGUGCCAAAUAAAUUUCAAAAUUGCAUGGCCCUCGCUUAAUUAAUAUUUUAUCCUUAGAAAUCGCGGCGCGCCAUUUAGUUGAAUUUUCCAUGGCCCUCGUAAGGUUUGCAAAUGCGUAGUGCUUUAGGCACGCCAUUUUAAUAAUUUACCUCCUUAAACUCGGGUGCGCAUUUAUGUGACCCAAAUCCAAAACUCAACAAUGUUAUAUAAAAUGUGUUGCGGACUGAGGGUGCAUUUAUGUGACGUGAUUCAAGACAUAUUCUAAAUGACAUUGCAAAUCUUUCUUUAAAAAUGGUUAAAAGCGGUUUAAAGUUAAAAUGCACAUAGGUUAAAACAUGUAAUAAAAAUCAGAUAAUUGAGCAAGUAAUAACAGUUGAGCGACCGUGCUAGAACCACGGAAUCUGGGAAUGCCUAACACCUUCUCCCGGGCUAACAUAAUUCCUUACACGGAUUUCUGUGUUCGAGGACUGUAAUACAGAGUCAAUCUUUUUCUCUAUUCGGGAUUUGAACUGGUGACUUAGGACACCAUAAAAUUAUCCCAAGUGGCGACUCUGAAUUUAAUACAUAAAUAAUCCCGUUUUGAUUGUCACUUUAAGUUGGAAAAACUCCCUUAUAUACCCUCCUUCCGAGGGUGUAAGUAAAAAGAAGGUGUGACAGCUCUGGCGACUCUACUUGGGAUAAGAACCCAGAAUCUCUGGUUCAUGGUUCAGAAUUCGAGCUUAGAAUAAUUGUUGUAUUUGGCUAUAUUUAUUAUCUGAUUUUAUUCACAUGUUUUGGCCUAAUGUGCUAAGUGCUGCUUUUUACCGCUUUGAUAUUAUCUAAACUGAUAUGAAACCCUUCUCUUCUCAUCUUCGUGGAUGUGCACGCUGGUGUGACUCCCUAUUAUGUUAGUGUCAUACCUUGAAAUAAGAAAUAGGAUCGGACAAGUUACAAAGCCAGAUGGUCUUUUGGUUCCCGGUACGUAGCCCCCUCCUCGGCUCGAGUUGUCCGGUCGGGUGCACAAGUCUAGAACAGUAUACCCAGGUUUUAUACAUAGAAUAACCAGCCUCAUGUCGGAUCCCUAGUAGGAACGUUUGUUUGCAUCACAUGCAUUUGACUUUGGAGACUCAACAUAGGGGUUGGGUCUGUCUAGGACAGGUGUACCCGAAAUGAAAAGACCAUCCUAAUGCAUCUUAUGUGCUACAUGUUGCAAUUUUCUAGGGUAAAAGGGUCAUUUGGCGGACCAAUAAUAGUUGAGGGCAAAUGAAAAAAAAAAGAGAAAAAAAAAAGAGAAGUGUGAAGAUAAAGCGAAUGGGGCCCAAUUAUGUUUUUGUCACAUUUUUGUUAAAAAACUUGAAAAUUCAAAAAAAAAUUGCACUUUUUCAUCAUUUUUCGAAAAUCAAAAAUCAAAAAAAAAAGAAGGAAAAAGAAAAUCCAAAAAAAAAGGUGUUGCAUGUUUCAUCAUUUUCAAGGAAAAGGCAAAAAAUAUAUUUUCUCUAAAUUAGUUGUUUUUGUUUUAAUUCUCGUCGUACCGAUCUGUCCAAACUACGCGAACCUAAUUCUCGUCUCUCGGGGCGGGAUACGUAGGCAACCCACAUAGGGUCCGGUCUUCCUAGUAAGUCUUAGGUUCUUGGCUUCGCGGGGUAUUAGCCAAAUCUUGCAUUUUAUCCACUUUUAGCCGCAUAGGUUAAUUUUGCAGAAAUAGCUUCAAUCAUGUCCGGCAUGUGUCUGGUAAGGAAUGUUAUUGUCUCACAUAGUGUUGGUUUCAGUUUUCUCAUACAGGUGUGGAUCUACUUACCGGAAUUUGGGCAUGACAGACGCCUUAGGAUCAUCCAGUCAGGAGUUUGCUUAAGGAGAUUUUUUUUAGUUAUUAUGUUUUGAGUCUGUUGUUUUUUUAUGUCGUCUUUUACCUUUCUAGUUUUGUACAGUAAUAUUGGGUCUUUUGUUUUUGUAUUUCCUAUUUUGUAUUAGAAAAAGAUGUGUUAUAAUUCAAAAAUCCAAAAAAAAAGGAUAUUUUGCAUUUUUAUAUUUCCGUUAG